GGCCCUGUUUGUUCGGCACUAAAGUGGCCGCCCGCAGCUCUCGGUUCACUCUCGGGGAGGAUUCCAACCCGCCAACUCUAGUCCAAGGGACGAACAAUAAUGUUUUCUGAUCUCGACAUAUAAAACAAAAAAAAAACGAUCAUAAACACACUUCACACACUCUUCUACGGCAGGAGCUUGGUGUUCCGCUCCCACACUUCGCCCUCCCUACCAUGGUCCUUAAAUUCCUGUGACAGUAAUGUUAUAAGGACCCCAAAAUCCACAUAAUCACUUCACAUACCUAUCGCAUUCAGUUUCCCCACUCACGAAAAAGUAUUAGCACAUCAUUUUUGGUUUUUAAAAACAAUUAUAUAAACAUAUUCACAUUUAUUAUAAUAGAAGAAAAGAUAAAAAUAAACGAGUUACAUAUAUAAUCCUUAACCUACAAAUUUUCGUCUAAUUUUCUCUAAAAAUAUCUGGACAAGACGCAAAAACUAAGUCACUAACACCAGAUGAGGGGUAAUAAUUAGAUGUGAGCCACUGACUCAGAUUUGCUGCUUUUCUGCACACAAUAACCUAGAUCGAUUAUCCAGCCCUUUAAUGGCUCGCAAAUGGUUUCUAAUAGACUACCUAAAAGAGCUCUCUUAACAGUCGUGGGAAUCGUACGUUUUUCCGAUCCAAACAGAACCAAAAAUUUUACUUCUGAAUCUAGGAUAUUUAGCAAAACUACACCCAAAUCCUACACUCACAAAAAAAAAAUUAAUAAAAGACCUGGUAUUAAUAACCCUUACAAUAUAUAUAUAUUAACCCAAAAAAGAAACCUCGUAUACAAGACACGUUGAUGGCACAAAACAACAUACACAAAAAAAACUUAACCUAGUUAUCUUUAUGAACUUCUGUUUUAUCAAUUAUAAUUAAAAUUAUUUUUCUUUUUCUUAUAGUGUUGGCGCGAUAACGUACCCAGUGGAGCCUGAGGGUACUUCUGGCAACCCGAUCUUAGGCGGUUAUGCUCCAGCAAAGAGCUUAUGAUCACCAGCCUGGACAGUUACUUCUUAAGGUGGACUUAUCCAGAUUUGACCAAGAAUCGGAUCCGGGGAGAAACAAAAAAAAACACCCUGGCCUCCGCUCGUCUGAGCCUGUUGGAGACCAGGAAUAACCAGUAUAGGUUUUGUUGGGACACUACACACAAGCAGAAUGGAGAGACAAAAAAAAAGAAACAUCAGUACCGAUAAAACAAUCACUCACAUAUUUACACUUAUAACUCACAUUAAAGGGUAAUUCCCCAAAAUAAUAAAUAUAGACCGAACACUGA